rnacentral:lncRNA from 1 species
UUUUUAAAUUUUUGUAAGAAUAGCUAUGGAUCAUAAUCCUGUGGACCCCAUGCAGGUAAAAUUGAUUUCAAUUCUAGAACCUAUGGUCCUAUUACUCGUAUCAUAACAAGUCAGUGAUUUUUGAUGUAUCAAAAUUAAAUCAUAAUUAAUCAAUUAUUUCAGAAACUUCUAAUUAAUUAGGGCAUUACAAAAUGAAGACAUUUCAACUCGAAUGGGUUGCAGAUUCUAUAAGUUGAAACUUAAAACUCAAUUAUAUAUAUAAUUAUAUUAUAUCUUUUGACAAACAUUCAAUUUUUUUAAAGGCAUGAUUCAAAUUAUGAAUAGUUGCUUUAUCUGCCCCUAGUAAGAAAUAUAUCUAUAACAAAAUUAUAUAAUAUUUCGCAAAAGGAAGAGGAGUACGUAUUUUCCAGCCUGCCCGCUAAUUCUAUAAUACUAGACAAAGUACAUGGAAUCAUCAUCUACUACUAUGAUGUGAGACUGAGCAUAUUGAGUAAGGUGUUGCUGUAUAUUUAGUCGGUAGUAGUUCAGGGUGUAUGAAACUGUGUGAAUAUUAUCAUCAUCCAUAAGAAUUUAUUUAAAUACAUCCCGCCUCCAUCUACCUUACAUAACAUAUCAAAAUGAUGGACUUUGGAAAGUCAUUGCUAAAAGCAGGGCAUGCAGUAGCUGGAGCUUCCAAGCCUGUUGGGGAUCAAGAUCUUCUACGAGAAGCUCUAAAAUUAGCGAAAACAAAGGAUGUAAAAAGGAUUGACCCCAAAGUGUUAAACUACGCUGCAACACGGAUUCAAUCUGCUUAUAGAGGGCACGUGACAAGGAAAAAUAUGAAGCAUUAAAGUCUGUGCAGAUAAUGCUACCUUAAUUGCUUCAUCCCUUACGCAUUUACACAUACGACAAACCUACAAAUAUAUGUAUUUAAAUUACUAAUAAAUAUCAUUUUAUUAUUAACUGACUUUCUCCUUAAAGAAAGAAACAAAUCACUUCAUAAUUUUUGUCAUUAUGAUUUAAUUAUUAGAUGAAUAAUAAACUCCUACAUAUCGAAUCAAACAAAAAAAAAAUGAAGAAAAUAAAUCCACAGUACAUUUUAAUCAGGCAAUCAAUUCUCAUAUCUAACAAUUGCCUUAUUAUAUAUUCCAUCUAUAUCCAUUAAUAUUGUAUAUUAAAGGUAUAACUUAUUUUUUACUUAAUUAUGAAAAAGAAUUUAUCAAUAAAUAACGGAAAAUUUAUUGAGUUAAAAUAGCACGAAA